GAACUCAGAGCAUGGUUCUGACAGCAGUGCUGUAGACAUGGUCUCUCAGCAUCUCUCCAGCACUGCUUGUUUCUGACAUGCUACUGAUAAGCACUGCAGUGUGAGUGAUGAACAGAGGGCAUUGCUGUGACAAGCUGAAAGAACUCAGGUGGGACCUCUCUGCUUCAUGGACACAUUUUAUGGCAUCUGGAAAGCAAUCUGGCAUGGGAGGCUCUGCACCACUAUCUUCUUGCUGAAGCAAUGAGCUUCUGAUGAAUGAACAAACUUUUCGGACAGCGUGUGAGCUUGUGGUCAGAUUUUCAAAUCAGCUAACUUGACAGGAGCUUAUCAUGACUGCCCUCAAAGAACACCUGAAAGACCCUGAUGCAUAUACUUAGACCCAACCAAUGGACAGAAGCUGCUGACCCCUGUUGUUGAAUAAAGGAAAGGCUGGAAGAAGCUGAGAAGGACUACCCCAUAGGAAGACCAGCAGUCUCAAAUAACCUGGACCCCCAAAAUUUCUCAGACACUGAGCUACCAACCAGGCAGCAUAGACUAGCUGAUAUGAGGCCCCGACACACAGGUAGCAUAGGACUGCCUGGUAUGGCCUCAGUGAGAGGAGGUGCACCUAACCCUCUAGAGACUUGAGGCCCCAGAAUGUGGGGAGGUUUGGUGGUAUGGGGGUUGAGGGGUGGGGCUAUCCUUUUGAACUCAAGGGAGGAGGAAUGGGAUGAGGAACAGUUGGAGGGCAGACUGGGAAUGGGAUAACUACUGGAUUGUAAAAGAAGAUUAAAGAAUAAUAAAAAAAUAUUUUUUAAUUA
rnacentral:lncRNA from 1 species